UUGAAUUCUAAAAUCAAUUUAAAACCCCGUUAUAUCUUAAGUUCAAGUUAUGAUAAAUGGGCUAUGUCACAGAUUUCUUAAACUUUUGCCUACACCUUUGACUUGUUGAAUAGAGCUUUCUUACAAAUUGACGAAAGGUACGAACGAACGUAAAGGGAGCACGUAUUUCAUUUCUACAAUAACAGUUAAAAGAGUCUUUGUUUUAUCCAGUAAAACAGCAUUCUUUUCUAAAUCAAGUUUAUUAAAAAAAAAACAAUAUCGCAAAUAAUACACGAUUUUAAUAUAAUCAAACAGAGAAAAAUAGGGUCAAAUACACUUACUUCCGAUACGUACUUACGUAAACCACGAGUACACACAUUUCCGCAAAUAAAUGGGAAUUAUUUAAGCACGAGUUUCACGAUUAACAUUUCAAUGACAUAACUGAAGUACGUUAGUCUAAAUUUAACGACAAGAUUCAUAUUUAUUUUUAUUUGUUACAGUACACUUUCAGCAAAUUGUCAAAGUGGAAUAUCGAGAUUUGCUAAAAAAUGAUGCUACAAUGUUUUUAAAAAGUAAUGUUGAAUAAAUCUAGAAAAAAAAGACUUUUUUUUAUCAAGAAAAUAAAUCUACAAUUCUCCACCAAAUAGAUAUGGAUUCUAUAAUGACGAUUUAGGAGUACACACGUUUGGAAGAUAGACGCGAAGUUGUUACCUAUCGUCCAGUGGCUAAUAUUUCAUGAAUGUUCAGGACUAUAGGCAAAACGCAGUUAUACGCUAAAAUAACCGUUCCAUUGCUCUGGUGUAUCAUAUAUACACAUUUUAGGGGGGGGGCAUUAAUAUUACCAGGGGAGAGGCGAAGAUUCAAAAGUUAUGAAACGAGCAUCAGUGUAUGGCAUAGUAUGAAGAUCAUCUUUUUCUACAUUUUCAUUUUAUUAUUUUGAGCGUUGCAAAUUUUGAAUUAAGGAAGUAUUCG
rnacentral:lncRNA from 1 species